GAUUACAAGUGUGUGCCACCGUGCCCAGCCCCAUCUUUGAAAAAUGCCCAGGUGAAGAAAGAACUCUAGAGUGUCUCAUGCACUGCAGAGGAGAAGAUAAUUUUCAAUUGGAUGUUAAUUAUUACAUAUGAAAAAUCACAGUGAGGAUCAAGGGCCUGGCUGUGCUACUCCAGCUACCCUCCUGGCAGGCGCGUGGGUGGAGCCAACAUGGGAGCCCAGCUGGGGGAAACUGGGAAACAAGAGACUCCUCACAUUCCACAGGACAGCUGAACUGGUGGCUUGUAUCAAAAUGCUCACAUCCAGAAACAGCAUGUUGUUCUGCCAGU